ensembl:lncRNA
UAGUUGUAUCUGACUCCUGCUUUGCGCCCCACUGCCCAGGAACAAUCCUGGGGUCAGUCGUCGUCUGACAGCCUGGGAUCGCGUGAACACGAAUCACGGCUCAGGUGGGGUAGCGUGGAAUCCGUGAGUCCAGCAAGUUCUGGGGCUUGCACAACUGGUAGAAAGAACCAGAAGAUUUUGCCAUGCGAGGGGGCUGGUAUGGAAAAGUAGCCGUCAGAUCUCCAUCGUCUCAGACCCUAUAACUAGAGAUUCAAAGCGAGUGUUAAUCAAUAUCUGAAGGGAAGUGGGAGGAAAAUGGAUGAGGCCAGGCUCUUCUCGGUGGUGCGUAGCGGAGGACAAUGAGCAGUGGCCUAGAACUUGAGCACAGGAAGUUCCAUGCAAACAUGUGGAAGACCUUCUUUACGGUAAGGGUGGGGGAGCCCUGGGACGGGUUGCCCAGAGAGGUGGUGGAGGUUAUGACCAGCAUCUCCUCUGGGUUGGGAUGCCUCUCAGGUACUGCCAAAUCCUCGAGGCCCUCUACCAAUGAUAGUGUACCAAGGAUAGUCUACUGUGCUGUGAUCUUCAGGGACAUUUUCAACACAAGCCAUCCUAUUGUUCUGUGAUCUUCAAGGACACUUCCAGCGUACAAAAAUCCAGUGGUUCUGUGAUCUUCAGGGAGCCAUGCAACACAAACCAUUCCAGCGUUGUGUGAUUUUAGAAGCUGGACGUGAGCCAGCAGUGUGUGCUGGCAGCCCGGAAGGCCAAGUGUGUUCUGGGCUGCGUUAAGAAAGAGGUGGCCAGCAGGGAGAGGGAGGUGGUUGUCCCCCUCUACUCAGCUCUUGUGAGGCCCCAUCUGGAGUACUGCACCCAGGCCUGGGGCCCUGUAUGAGACCUGUUGAACUGCAACUCCACCUGUGUGACCGGAAGGGGUGGAGCCAGGCUCCACCUCUUCUAAACCCCAUUUAAGGGCUGACUGCCACGGAGGAAGGAUCGCUCUCUGAAGAUCACUCCUCUUGGAGCCCUUUUGGCGAGCCCAGGACACGGGAGAUGAACUUGGUGCUCCCUUUCCGGAUGAUCGUUUGGAUCCGGAUUUUGUGCCUGUGCCUCUGGGACAACCCAGAGGCCCUGCUGGUGAAUCAGCAGAACAGAAUCCUGCCUCUGAGCCUGAAGGGGAUGCUGGAGAUGUGACUGGAGGAGGUGAUCCAGGUUCCGCUCUGAGCUCUGGGACUGAAACUCCGGCAGAUCGCAUGGGAGUGCCCCCAGGGAGGGCUUUGCCCGGUCAUGUGUUUCCUCCUGCGCUGGAGCCCAGCUGGAAUCCCAGCGGGUCCGGAAAAAGGAAAGGAUGAACCCAAAAGAGGAGAAUACUCCCAGGGCUCAUCCCGUCUCCUCAAGGAACUGGUGAAGGAAAUGGAGAAGGCAGCGCGUGGAACUGACCAACAAAGUGAGCAGGAUGCACUGCAGGAAGGCAGCCAUCCCACACUGCCAGUCUCGGGCAAAGGAACGCAGGCAGCGCCAACAACUGUCAUGCCAGGGAUGAAUGCCGGGACGAGCACAAAGGCUGCUGUUGGCAGAUCUGCGCGAAGGCGCCACAUCGCAGCGAUGGUACUGUUCUCAGCUGUGCUGCUGUCUGCGCUGGUGCUGGCCUGUGGUGCUGUGAUAUGGAUGUGCCAAAAAUACGUAGUGUGCAAGAGAGAAGAGAGAGCAGCAGAGCAGGCUCAUCCUGAUACCAACUAGGAGAGAGUUCCAACUGGAGACGAGGGCAGAACGGAGCUGGGAGAGGCAGCCGAAGAGACUCUUGCCCCAUCAAAGAAGAAUCUCAGCCAUCGUCCCAGUGCAUUCCAUUCUGCCAUCCAAGAGGCCAAAGGUCUUCAAAGUCAUCUGGAAGACUUGGAGCUUGAACUCAAAGCCGUGAAAGAGGUCCACGGGAACAGUCCUGAGUGCUGCUUUCUGUCAGGGGACGGCCCUGAAAGUGAGAGCGGAGAACCAGCAGCAGAGCUUUUGUCCUUCACCCUGCAUUCUCUGGGACAAGCAUCAGCAACAUUUCAAAGAUUCUUAGCUCGGCACAGCUACAAUCCUGUUGAGGGUCCUAAUGAGGAGCCAGAAAGCGAGCUUCCUCUGACCGCUGGACAACACCUUAACGUCUUUGGAGCUGUGGAUGAGAAUGUCUGGUUUCAGGGAGAGCUGACAGAUGGCACAAGAGGACUGGUCCCAUCCAGUUUGGUUGCGGAGGUUUCAGAUGAUGAACUGGAUACAACGAUGCCUCCGGAGCUCUGUGCUCUCCUGCUGGAUACUUGAUGAAUAAGUGGAUGCAGAGAUUCCAUCAUGCAGCAACAUCCUGUCAAAAUUCCUGCGUUACUCCAUCUGCAAGACUACCCCCUGCUCCACUUGAUGUUCAGGUGGAGUGUGUGCAGGACGUGGAUGAGCUCCUUUGGGAACACUCUGAGGUGACUGACAGUGUAACUGCAUAGUCUUGUGGUAUAUUAAACAAACAAACAAACAAACACCACCCACAAUAAAACAACCAACCAACCAACCCAAAAAGCGCUGCUCUUUUUCUUGGAUACACUGAGGUGAUCCUUUUUCUAGCUGAGACUUUGCAAUGAGUCUUGAAGCAGAUUUGAGCCGGUAGAAGUUGGCAGUGUCUGCAUUCCGUUCUCCUGAUUUCCUUGCUGGUCAGAGUUAAGGUGCCAUGCAUCCAUUCCCCAGCCCUAGCUGUCUCCUGAAUCAUGAGAACAGCCUUUCCAUAUUGUGGAAAGAACUGGAGUGGAUUCACGCUGAAGGACAAGAUGCUUGCAGACACGUAAGCUCAAGAAGAGAAUGCAGAGUCCACGGAAACUCGCUGCCAAACAACGAUGAGAAAGUAGAAUAGGCUCCUGUUGUUGAAGAUGGGACGGUGAAACAGAUGUCUCAGCUCAACACAACGCCAGUAGGAGCUGGUUCGGGCUACCCCCCCUUAAAAGGUCGGAAGUUCACAGCGAGGUAGACUACGAGCCUUCAUCCACUGACCGCCAGAGACCCCCACCACAUUUUUAGGACGCGUGCUCAAGAGGGUGGGACAAUACGUUAAUAGUUUCUCAGAAUUCCAGCCCAUUUUUGUGGAACGUAAUGAAUAUGUGGAUGUUAUGUCUGUAAGUAUGUAACCAGUGCUUUUCUCUGUGUGCGAGUUAGGAGGAGAUAUCCCCCCCCGCACCCGGCGCCGUAAUGAGCGUACCUGCUUUGUAACCUUACGUGGGUUCCAGAGUUUGAUUCCACACGUCACUCCCUUCACUAUUAAGAGGACAAAGAACUUCUGGCACAGAAGGAUGCCCACCUGCAAGGCUCAAAUUGCACGCUGCUUCCUCCCUCUCUGCUCAGUAAAACUCUGUGUUGG